GACGUAGGGGGCGAGCGUUGUUCGGAUUUACUGGGCGUAAAGGGCGCGUAGGCGGUCAGCACAAGUCAGUUGUGAAAUCUCCGGGCUUAACUCGGAAAGGUCAACUGAUACUGUGCGACUAGAGUGCAGAAGGGGCAACUGGGAAUUCUCGGUGUAGCGGUGAAAUGCGUAGAUAUCGAGAGGAACACCUGCGGCGAAGGCGGGUUGCUGGGCUGACACUGACGCUGAUGCGCGAAAGCCAGGGGAGCGAACGGGG
rnacentral:rRNA from 1 species